rnacentral:rRNA from 1 species
GUGCCAGCAGCCGCGGUAAUACGGAAGGUCCGGGCGUUAUCCGGAUUUAUUGGGUUUAAAGGGAGCGCAGGCGGCCUUUUAAGCGUGACGUGAAAUGUAUGCGCUCAACGUAUGAAUUGCGUCGCGAACUGAGGGGCUUGAGUUCACGGGAAGCCGGCGGAAUUCGUGGUGUAGCGGUGAAAUGCUUAGAUAUCACGAAGAACUCCGAUUGCGAAGGCAGCUGGCUGCAGUUGGACUGACGCUCAUGCUCGAAAGUGCGGGUAUCGAACAGGAUUAGAUACCCUGGUAGUCCGCACGGUAAACGAUGGACGCCCGCUGCGUGCCUGUUUUGGUACGCGGCCAAGGGAAACCAUUAAGCGUCCCACCUGGGGAGUACGCCGGCAACGGUGAAACUCAAAGGAAUUGACGGGGGCCCGCACAAGCGGAGGAACAUGUGGUUUAAUUCGAUGAUACGCGAGGAACCUUACCCGGGCUUGAACUGCGGCGGGAUCCGGCAGAGACGCCGGAGUCAGCAAUGACCGCCGCGGAGGUGCUGCAUGGUUGUCGUCAGCUCGUGCCGUGAGGUGUCGGCUUAAGUGCCAUAACGAGCGCAACCCUUCUCUUCAGUUGCCAUCAGGCGAAGCUGGGCACUCUGGAGACACUGCCACCGUAAGGUGUGAGGAAGGUGGGGAUGACGUCAAAUCAGCACGGCCCUUACGUCCGGGGCUACACACGUGUUACAAUGGCGCGUACAGAGGGCCGGCGCUGGGCGACCAGCGUCCAAUCCUUAAAACGCGUCUCAGUUCGGACUGGGGUCUGCAACCCGACCCCACGAAGCUGGAUUCGCUAGUAAUCGCGCAUCAGCCAUGGCGCGGUGAAUACGUUCCCGGGCCUUGUACACACCGCCCGU